GAUGAACGCUAGCGGCAGGCUUAAUACAUGCAAGUCGAGGGAGAAUGAGGCUUCGGCCUCAGGGAACCGGCGCACGGGUGCGUAACGCGUACACAACAUGCCUUAUACUGGAGUAUAGCCUCGGGAAACUGGGAGUAAUCCUCCAUAACAUUAUCGGGUGGCAUCAUCUGGUAAUUAAAGCUCAGGCGGUAUAAGAUUGGUGUGCGUAUGAUUAGCUAGUUGGUAGGGUAAUGGCCUACAAAGGCGACGAUCAUUAGCUGGCGUGAGAGCGCGACCAGCCACACUGGAACUGAGACACGGUCCAGACUCCUACGGGAGGCAGCAGUAGGGAAUAUUGGACAAUGGGCGAAAGCCUGAUCCAGCCAUGCCGCGUGAUGGAUGAAGGCCCUCUGGGUUGUAAACAUCUUUUAUCAGGGAAGAAACACCUCGUUUCUACGAGGCUUGACGGUACCUGAUGAAUAAGCACCGGCUAACUCCGUGCCAGCAGCCGCGGUAAUAC
rnacentral:rRNA from 1 species